rnacentral:rRNA from 1 species
GACGAACGCUGGCGGCGUGCCUAAUACAUGCAAGUCGAACGCAGUGGGGCCGGGUGAGUAACACGUGGGUAACCUCCCAUCAGAGGGGAUAACACUUGGAUACAGGUGCUAAACCGCUACUGAUGGAUGAACCCGCGGUGCAUUAGCUAGUUGGUGAGGUAACGGCUUACCAGGGCCACGAUGCAUAGCCGACCUGAGAGGGUGAGCGGCCAGUCUGGGACUGAGACACGGCGCAGACUCCUACGUGAGGCAGCAGUAGGGAAUCUUCGGCAAUGGACGAAAGUGUGACCGAGCGACGCCGCGUGAGUGAAGAAGGGUUUCGGAUCGUAAAACUCUGUUGUUAGAGAAGCGGUAUCUAACCAGAAAGCCACGGCUAACUACGUGCCAGCCGCCGCGGUAAUAC